rnacentral:lncRNA from 1 species
AGGAGUACGGAGGCCUUCGUGCUCCUAAGCUGUUUUCGAUGAUGGAGCUUCCGAAUCGACGAUCGGCUCCGUUAGAUUUGAUCUAGCGUAUUUGAAGUAUCUAGAAAAUAAAUUUUAUGAUUUUUUGAUAUCAUUUACCUAGCGAUCGAAAGGGUUCAAAAUCAACGGCUGAAAUUAAAAAUAUCACAAAAAGCGGUGAUAUAGCACUAAAAUUUUCAAUCUGAGAUAUUGAUCUUGCUGUAAAUAGUAUAAAGAAUUUUCUAUCAAAAUUCCAUCUGAUUUGAAUAUUUCUACACCGUUAAACUUGCAAACGGUAUACAUCAACCAUUAAAAUUUGUUGAUUUUAAACCUUUUCGAUCACUAGGUAAAUGAUAUCGAAAAAUCGCAAAAUUUAUUUUCUAGAUAUUUCAAAAUACUAGAUUAAGUCUAAUGGAGCCGAUCGUCGAUUCGAAAACUCUAUCAUCGAAAACGACUUAGGAGCACGAAAGCCUCCGUGCUCCUAAUAGCACACAAGACCUACUCUCUCUCUCUCUCUCUCUCUCUCUCUCUCUACAUAUAUAUAUAUAUAUAUAUAUAUAUAUAUAUAUAUAUAUAUAAC